rnacentral:rRNA from 1 species
GACGAACGCUGGCGGCGUGCUUAACACAUGCAAGUCGAACGGAAAGGCCCUGCUUGCAGGGUACUCGAGUGGCGAACGGGUGAGUAACACGUGGGUGAUCUGCCCUGCACUUCGGGAUAAGCUUGGGAAACUGGGUCUAAUACCGGAUAGGAGCCAUCUUUAGUGUGGUGGUUGGAAAGUUUUUUCGGUGUAGGAUGAGCUCGCGGCCUAUCAGCUUGUUGGUGGGGUAAUGGCCUACCAAGGCGGCGACGGGUAGCCGGCCUGAGAGGGUGUACGGCCACAUUGGGACUGAGAUACGGCCCAGACUCCUACGGGAGGCAGCAGUGGGGAAUAUUGCGCAAUGGGCGCAAGCCUGAUGCAGCGACGCCGCGUGGGGGAUGAAGGCCUUCGGGUUGUAAACUCCUUUCGCUAGGGACGAAGCUUUGUUGUGACGGUACCUAGAUAAGAAGCACCGGCUAACUACGUG